GAUGAACGCUGGCGGCGUGCCUAAUACAUGCAAGUCGAGCGAACAGAUAAGGAGCUUGCUCCUUUGACGUUAGCGGCGGACGGGUGAGUAACACGUGGGUAACCUACCUAUAAGACUGGGAUAACUUCGGGAAACCGGAGCUAAUACCGGAUAAUAUUUCGAACCGCAUGGUUCGAUAGUGAAAGAUGGUUUUGCUAUCACUUAUAGAUGGACCCGCGCCGUAUUAGCUAGUUGGUAAGGUAACGGCUUACCAAGGCGACGAUACGUAGCCGACCUGAGAGGGUGAUCGGCCACACUGGAACUGAGACACGUUCCAGACUCCUACGGGAGGCAGCAGUAGGGAAUCUUCCGCAAUGGGCGAAAGCCUGACGGAGCAACGCCGCGUGAGUGAUGAAGGUCUUCGGAUCGUAAAACUCUGUUAUUAGGGAAGAACAUACGUGUAAGUAACUGUGCACGUCUUGACGGUACCUAAUCAGAAAGCCACGGCUAACUACGUG
rnacentral:rRNA from 1 species